rnacentral:rRNA from 1 species
GAACGGGUGAGUAAUACAUCGGAACGUACCCAGUAGCGGGGGAUAGCCCGGCGAAAGCCGGAUUAAUACCGCAUACGACCUACGGGUGAAAGGGGGGGAUCGAAAGACCUCUCGCUAUUGGAGCGGCCGAUGUCAGAUUAGGUAGUUGGUGGGGUAAAGGCCUACCAAGCCGACGAUCUGUAGCUGGUCUGAGAGGACGAUCAGCCACACUGGAACUGAGACACGGUCCAGACUCC